AACGCUUAAUCUUAUGCUUUUUAAUUAUUCAUCAAGUUCAUUUUCUUUACCUAUUUUUUGUUUAUUCAUUUCGACAAAUUUCAAUACAUUAAACUAUAAAUAUUUUAAGUAAACCUUACACGUAGACUAUAAAAUAAGAAACAGUUUGUAUGGUAGGACUAAAACUAUGGGUUGUACCGGAUUAAGUAAUUCAUUAAAUGAGGGUUUUUGGUAUCUUAAUGACACGCAGCAGUGCAGUUUGUUGCAUUACAAUAAUGCUUUCAGGAAAUAAUUUAGACUUCAGAAUGGUUUAAUUUGCGAUAUCGUUAAUGUAAUGGAGAUAAUUUUUUGUAUAUAUUCUACACUGCACCAAAUGUUAGUAUCAAACAAUCAACAUGACUUCCAAGGUAAUCAUCUUCGUCGUUGUAUUGUGCCUCGUGCACGUUGCCUUUGCGGGAGUACGUAUCCCAAGACAAGCCGAAGGAGAAAAGGCGAGUGCCGAAAAAGGUGGAAGUGGUGUGGGUGGAAAUGGUGCGGGUGGUAGCGGUGGAUCACAAAACCUGGGAAGUUUCGCUGGAGUCUUCGAAAAACUACCUACGGGAUUCCUUCAGACGUUUGCAGGAUUUUUAGAAAAAUUCAAUACUGGAAAUCCAUCCGGCAAACAAUAAUCUUCAAGAGUUGAUAUAAUUUAAUAAACAUCUCAUAUCUA